rnacentral:rRNA from 1 species
UACGUAGGAGACAAGCGUUAUCCGGAGUUACUGGGCGUAAAGGGCGUGUAGGCGGUUUCGUAAGUCUGGCGUGAAAUUUUUCGGCUUAACCGGGAAAGGUCGUCGGAUACUGCGGAACUAGAGGACGGUAGAGGCGUGUGGAAUUCCGGGUGUAGUGGUGAAAUGCGUAGAGAUCCGGAGGAACACCAGUGGCGAAGGCGACACGCUGGGCCGUACCUGACACUGAUGCGCGACAGCAUGGGGAGCAAACAGG